rnacentral:rRNA from 1 species
UCGAGGAUCUUCGCCAAUGGGCGAAAGCCUGAACGAGCGAUGCCGCGUGUGCGAUGAAGGCCUUCGGGUUGUAAAGCACGAAAGUGAAGAGAAAGGGAAACUUGAUCGAUUCACAGUAAGCUCGGGCUAAGUUCGUGCCAGCAGCCGCGGUAAGACGAACCGAGCGAACGUUGUUCGGAAUCACUGGGCUUAAAGGGCGCGUAGGCGGGUGCUCAAGUCUGUGGUGAAAUCCUCCAGCUUAACUGGAGAACUGCCAUGGAUACUGGGUGUCUCGAGGAAUGUAGGGGUAUGCGGAACGAUUGGUGGAGCGGUGAAAUGCGUUGAUAUCAAUCGGAACUCCGGUGGCGAAGGCGGCAUACUGGACAUUUUCUGACGCUGAGGCGCGAAAGCUAGGGGAGCAAACGGG